GUGGGGAAUCUUCCGCAAUGGACGAAAGUCUGACGGAGCAACGCCGCGUGAGUGAUGAAGGUCUUCGGAUUGUAAAGCUCUGUUAAUCGGGACGAAAGAGCCUAGUGUGAAUAAUGCUAGGAAGUGACGGUACCGGAAUAGAAAGCCACGGCUAACUACGUGCCAGCAGCCGCGGUAAUACGUAGGUGGCAAGCGUUGUCCGGAAUUAUUGGGCGUAAAGUGCGCGCAGGCGGAUCUGCCAGUCUGUCUUAAAAGUUCGGGGCUUAACCCCGUGAUGGGAUGGAAACUACAGAUCUAGAGUAUCGGAGAGGAAAGUGGAAUUCCUAGUGUAGCGGUGAAAUGCGUAGAUAUUAGGAAGAACACCAGUGGCGAAGGCGACUUUCUGGACGAAAACUGACGCUGAGGCGCGAAAGCCAGGGGAGCGAACGGGAUUAGAUACCCGGGUAGUCC
rnacentral:rRNA from 1 species